UACGUAGGGGGCAAGCGUUGUCCGGAAUCAUUGGGCGUAAAGAGCGUGUAGGCGGUCCGGUAAGUCGGCUGUGAAAGUCCAGGGCUCAACCCUGGGAUGCCGGUCGAUACUGCCGGACUAGAGUUCGGAAGAGGCGAGUGGAAUUCCCGGUGUAGCGGUGAAAUGCGCAGAUAUCGGGAGGAACACCUAUGGCGAAGGCAGCUCGCUGGGACGUUACUGACGCUGAGACGCGAAAGCGUAGGGGAGCGAACAGG
rnacentral:rRNA from 1 species